UUAAGCGACUAAGCGUACACGGUGGAUGCCCUGGCAGUCAGAGGCGAUGAAGGACGUGCUAAUCUGCGAAAAGCGUCGGUAAGGUGAUAUGAACCGUUAUAACCGGCGAUGUCCGAAUGGGGAAACCCAGUGUGAUUCGUCACACUAUCGUUAACUGAAUACAUAGGUUAACGAGGCGAACCGGGGGAACUGAAACAUCUAAGUACCCCGAGGAAAAGAAAUCAACCGAGAUUCCCCCAGUAGCGGCGAGCGAACGGGGAGCAGCCCAGAGUCUGAAUCAGCUUGUGUGUUAGUGGAACGGUCUGGAAAGUCCGACGGUACAGGGUGAUAGUCCCGUACACCAAAAUGCACAGGUUGUGAACUCGAAGAGUAGGGCGGGACACGUGGUAUCCUGUCUGAAUAUGGGGGGACCAUCCUCCAAGGCUAAAUACUCCUGACUGACCGAUAGUGAACCAGUACCGUGAGGGAAAGGCGAAAAGAACCCCGGCGAGGGGAGUGAAAAAGAACCUGAAACCGUGUACGUACAAGCAGUGGGAGCACCUUCGGGUGUGACUGCGUACCUUUUGUAUAAUGGGUCAGCGACUUAUAUUCUGUAGCAAGGUUAACCGUAUAGGGGAGCCGCAGGGAAACCGAGUCUUAACUGGGCGUUAAGUUGCAGGGUAUAGACCCGAAACCCGGUGAUCUAGCCAUGGGCAGGUUGAAGGUUGGGUAACACUAACUGGAGGACCGAACCGACUAAUGUUGAAAAAUUAGCGGAUGACUUGUGGCUGGGGGUGAAAGGCCAAUCAAACCGGGAGAUAGCUGGUUCUCCCCGAAAGCUAUUUAGGUAGCGCCUCGUGAAUUCAUCUUCGGGGGUAGAGCACUGUUUCGGCUAGGGGGUCAUCCCGACUUACCAACCCGAUGCAAACUACGAAUACCGAAGAAUGUUAUCACGGGAGACACACGGCGGGUGCUAACGUCCGUCGUGAAGAGGGAAACAACCCAGACCGCCAGCUAAGGUCCCAAAGUCAUGGUUAAGUGGGAAACGAUGUGGGAAGGCACAGACAGCCAGGAUGUUGGCUUAGAAGCAGCCAUCAUUUAAAGAAAGCGUAAUAGCUCACUGGUCGAGUCGGCCUGCGCGGAAGAUGUAACGGGGCUAAACCAUGCACCGAAGCUGCGGCAGCGACACUAUGUGUUGUUGGGUAGGGGAGCGUUCUGUAAGCCUGCGAAGGUGUGCUGUGAGGCAUGCUGGAGGUAUCAGAAGUGCGAAUGCUGACAUAAGUAACGAUAAAGCGGGUGAAAAGCCCGCUCGCCGGAAGACCAAGGGUUCCUGUCCAACGUUAAUCGGGGCAGGGUGAGUCGACCCCUAAGGCGAGGCCGAAAGGCGUAGUCGAUGGGAAACAGGUUAAUAUUCCUGUACUUGGUGUUACUGCGAAGGGGGGACGGAGAAGGCUAUGUUAGCCGGGCGACGGUUGUCCCGGUUUAAGCAUGUAGGCUGGUUAUCCAGGCAAAUCCGGAUAAUCAAGGCUGAGGUGUGAUGACGAGGCACUACGGUGCUGAAGUAACAAAUGCCCUGCUUCCAGGAAAAGCCUCUAAGCAUCAGGUAACAUCAAAUCGUACCCCAAACCGACACAGGUGGUCAGGUAGAGAAUACCAAGGCGCUUGAGAGAACUCGGGUGAAGGAACUAGGCAAAAUGGUGCCGUAACUUCGGGAGAAGGCACGCUGGUGUGUAGGUGAAGUCCCUGCGGAUGGAGCUGAGACCAGUCGAAGAUACCAGCUGGCUGCAACUGUUUAUUAAAAACACAGCACUGUGCAAACACGAAAGUGGACGUAUACGGUGUGACGCCUGCCCGGUGCCGGAAGGUUAAUUGAUGGGGUUAUCCGUAAGGAGAAGCUCUUGAUCGAAGCCCCGGUAAACGGCGGCCGUAACUAUAACGGUCCUAAGGUAGCGAAAUUCCUUGUCGGGUAAGUUCCGACCUGCACGAAUGGCGUAAUGAUGGCCAGGCUGUCUCCACCCGAGACUCAGUGAAAUUGAACUCGCUGUGAAGAUGCAGUGUACCCGCGGCAAGACGGAAAGACCCCGUGAACCUUUACUAUAGCUUGACACUGAACAUUGAGCCUUGAUGUGUAGGAUAGGUGGGAGGCUUUGAAGCGUGGACGCCAGUCUGCGUGGAGCCAACCUUGAAAUACCACCCUUUAAUGUUUGAUGUUCUAACGUUGGCCCCUGACCGGGGUUGCGGACAGUGUCUGGUGGGUAGUUUGACUGGGGCGGUCUCCUCCCAAAGCGUAACGGAGGAGCACGAAGGUUAGCUAAUCCUGGUCGGACAUCAGGAGGUUAGUGCAAUGGCAUAAGCUAGCUUGACUGCGAGCGUGACGGCGCGAGCAGGUGCGAAAGCAGGUCAUAGUGAUCCGGUGGUUCUGAAUGGAAGGGCCAUCGCUCAACGGAUAAAAGGUACUCCGGGGAUAACAGGCUGAUACCGCCCAAGAGUUCAUAUCGACGGCGGUGUUUGGCACCUCGAUGUCGGCUCAUCACAUCCUGGGGCUGAAGUAGGUCCCAAGGGUAUGGCUGUUCGCCAUUUAAAGUGGUACGCGAGCUGGGUUUAGAACGUCGUGAGACAGUUCGGUCCCUAUCUGCCGUGGGCGCUGGAGAAUUGAGGGGGGCUGCUCCUAGUACGAGAGGACCGGAGUGGACGCAUCACUGGUGUUCGGGUUGUCAUGCCAAUGGCACUGCUCGGUAGCUAAAUGCGGAAGAGAUAAGUGCUGAAAGCAUCUAAGCACGAAACUUGCCCCGAGAUGAGUUCUCCCUGAGACUUUAAGUCUCCUGAAGGAACGUUGAAGACGACGACGUUGAUAGGCCGGGUGUGUAAGCGCAGCGAUGCGUUGAGCUAACCGGUACUAAUGAACCGUGAGGCUUAACCUU
rnacentral:rRNA from 1 species